CUGUCGUCACAACGGCUUCCUGGCGUGACGAUCAAUACCCAGUGGAGCA
rfam:Phaeobacter sp. CECT 7735 genome assembly, contig: 0001